UGGGGAAUUUUGUGCAAUGGGCGAAAGCCUGACACAGCGACACCGCGUGAGCGAAGAAGCCCUUUGGGGUGUAAAGCUCUGUCAGCAGGAACGAAAUAAAUGACGGUACCUGCAGAGGAAGCAUCGGCUAACUACGUGCCAGCAGCCGCGGUAAGACGUAGGAUGCGAGCGUUGUCCGGAUUUAUUGGGCGUAAAGAGUUCGUAGGCGGUUCGUUAAGUCUGAUGUUAAAGAUCGGGGCUCAACCCUGGGAGUGCAUUGGAUACUGGCGGACUGGAGUGCGGUAGAGGCAAGUGGAAUUCCCAGUGUAGCGGUGAAAUGCGUAGAUAUUGGGAAGAACACCGGUGGCGUAGGCGACUAGCUGGGCCGUAACUGACGCUGAGGAACGAAAGCCAGGGGAGCGAAUGGGAUUAGAUACCCCCGUAGUCC
rnacentral:rRNA from 1 species